CCUACGGGAGGCUGCAGUGGGGAAUUUUGGACAAUGGGCGCAAGCCUGAUCCAGCUAUUCCGCGUGUGGGAAGACGGCCUUCGGGUUGUAAACCACUUUUGUAGAGAACGAAAAGUCUGUUGAUAAUACCGAUAGAUGAUGACGGUACUCUAAGAAUAAGCACCGGCUAACUACGUGCCAGCAGCCGCGGUAAUACGUAGGGUGCGAGCGUUAAUCGGAUUUACUGGGCGUAAAGGGUGUGCAGGCGGUUUUGCAAGAUGGAUGUGAAAGCCCCGGGCUUAACCUGGGAAAGCCAUACAUGACUGCAAGACUAGAGUGCGUGAGAGGGGGGUGGAAUUCCAAGUGUAGCAGUGAAAUGCGUAGAUAUUUGGAAGAACACCGAUGGCGAAGGCAGCACCCUGGGACGCAACUGACGCUCACACACGAAAGCGUGGGGAGCAAACAGGAUUAGAUACCCUUGUAGUC
rnacentral:rRNA from 1 species